AGAAUCAACGGUAAUUUAUUUUAAUCUAUGUUCGAGUGUUAAAGAUAACUAUAAGUACACUUAUCUUUUCGCAUUCGGCUCAAUCAUCAUAUUUAGGGUUAAAAUUAAUCCCGUAAAACCGGUUAUGUGUCUUGAUUUUGGGAAAAAAUGAAUAUUAUGUGGGUAGGUACCUAUUUAAUUUCAAUAAUUUUCUAUCGAUUUUAUUGCUAGGUACGGAGUAUGGGAUAAAGCAUUAAUGCCAAAUCUAUAGGCUACUAUUAAAAUUAGAAAGAUUUAAAGACAAGCAAGUGUGCGUGCACUGUGCAGUUCGUGAAUAUACGAUUUCAUGUUUGUACAUUAUUGCAGUAGGUAUUAUUGUUUACCUUUGUCAAAAAGGUUCGUUUUUCCUGGCUAACCAUUAAAUUAAUGGGUACUAUUCCGUAACCCCACGAAAUCGCUUAUUCUAAUUUAAUUUACUAAUUUUGUUGUCUGUCCCGGUUUUGCUUGAUAAAAU